rnacentral:rRNA from 1 species
UACGAAGGGGGCUAGCGUUGCUCGGAAUCACUGGGCGUAAAGCGCACGUAGGCGGCUUUCUAAGUCAGGGGUGAAAUCCCGGGGCUCAACCUCGGAAUUGCCUUUGAUACUGUCUGUCUUGAGUUCGGGAGAGGUUGGCGGAAUUCCUAGUGUAGAGGUGAAAUUCGUAGAUAUUAGGAAGAACACCAGUGGCGAAGGCGGCCAACUGGCCCGAUACUGACGCUCAUGUGCGAAAGCG